AACGCACCUUGCGCCCCUUGGCAUUCCGAGGGGCACACCCGUUUGAGUGUCGUGAAAUCUUCAAAACCCUUUUCUUUGAUCCAUUUCGGUCGGGAAAAGGAUUUUUGGACUUGGAGGUUCAAUGCUCGCCCUUUCUUUUGAAAGCGAGCUCCUCUUAAAUGAAUCAGUGGGGUCCGCUUUGCUGAUCCUUGACGUGAUAAGAUGUUUCUACGUUUUGGGUUUAGCACUGUCCCUUGGACGCCUGCUCCUAACCGUCUCACCGACAACGAUGGUGCUCUGGUCACCGCCGUCUACAUCGGCGGGAGGCUGGACCCACAAAAAGAAAACCUUGACCUCAAAUCGGGUGAGACUACCCGCUGAACUUAA
rnacentral:misc_RNA from 1 species